UUGUGGAGGAGGACGCCGAAGGUGGGGCUAAUGACUGGGGUGAAGUCGUAACAAGGUAGCCGUACCGGAAGGUGCGGCUGGAUCACCUCCUAACAGGGAGACAACAAAAUGUUUAAUAUUAUUAUUUUGUCACCUUAGGUCGAUCGGUAUCUCACAUUCUUAAUUUAUUAAGGAUUUCAUUUCCUAAGUUUUUCUAGGUCACACCCAUUAUUUUUCCUGGGCCAUUAGCUCAGGUGGUUAGAGCGCACCCCUGAUAAGGGUGAGGUCCCUGGUUCAAGUCCAGGAUGGCCCAUAUCUCUAUGUUGGGGGUAUAGCUCAGUUGGUAGAGCGCCUGCUUUGCAAGCAGGAUGUCAGCGGUUCGAGUCCGCUUACCUCCACUGAUUACCACCUCUUCCAUAAUCUUUAUAAGGAAAUGUUUUGAGUUGUGAUCAAAUUCUGAACGAAUCUAGCUUCCUAAUGAAAUCAUUAAGAUGCUGGACUCAUUGAAUUAAUUUCAUUGUUUUCAGAGAACCUUGACAACUGCAUAGAUUAUUUUUAAAGACAAUAAGCAUCUUUAAUUGAUGCAGAUUUAUUAUUUGCGCGAAUGCAUUAAUAACAAUUCUAUUAAGCUGAUGCUUCAAUUUUUGAAGUUAUUGGUCAAGCUACAA
rnacentral:misc_RNA from 1 species